AGGGCGACCGGGUCGACGCCGCGGGUCACGACCAGGUAGUCGCGCAUCGCGAUGCCGUGGCGGUCCUC
rfam:Gordonia sp. QH-11, complete genome.